rnacentral:rRNA from 1 species
ACGUAAUAGAUACCCAGGUAGUCCACGCCCUAAACGAUGUCUACUAGUUGUUGGUGGAGUAAAAUCCAUGAGUAAACGCAGCUAAACGCGUGAAGUAGACCGCCUGGGGAGUACGGUCGCAAGAUUAAAACUCAAAUGAAUUGACGGGGGCCCGCACAAGCGGUGGAUUAUGUGGAUUAAUUCGAUGCAACGCGAAAACCUUACCUGGCCUUGACAUGUAACGAACUUUCCAGAGAUGGAUUGGUGCUCGAAAGAGAACGUUAACACAGGUGCUGCAUGGCUGUCGUCAGCUCGUGUCGUGAGAUGUUGGGUUAAAGUCCCGCAACGAGCGCAACCCUUGCCAUUAAUUGCCAUCAUUUAGUUGGGCACUUUAAUGGGACUGCCGGUGACAAACCGGAGGAAGGUGGGGAUGACGUCAAGUCCUCAUGGCCCUUAUGGCCAGGGCUUCACACGUAAUACAAUGGUCGGUACAGAGAGUUGCCAACCCGCGAGGGGAGCCAAUCUCAGAAAGCCGAUCGUAGUCCGGAUUGUAGUCUGC